GUGGGGAAUUUUGGACAAUGGGGGCAACCCUGAUCCAGCCAUUCCGCGUGAGUGAAGAAGGCCUUCGGGUUGUAAAGCUCUUUCGGCAGGAACGAAACGGUGAGCUCUAACAUAGCUCGCUAAUGACGGUACCUGAAGAAGAAGCACCGGCUAACUACGUGCCAGCAGCCGCGGUAAUACGUAGGGUGCGAGCGUUAAUCGGAAUUACUGGGCGUAAAGCGUGCGCAGGCGGUUGUGUAAGACAGGAGUGAAAUCCCCGGGCUUAACCGGGGAACUGCGCUUGUGACUGCACGGCUAGAGUAUGGCAGAGGGGGGUGGAAUUCCACGUGUAGCAGUGAAAUGCGUAGAGAUGUGGAGGAACACCGAUGGCGAAGGCAGCCCCCUGGGCCAAUACUGACGCUCAUGCACGAAAGCGUGGGGAGCAAACAGGAUUAGAAACCCCGGUAGUCC
rnacentral:rRNA from 1 species